AGAGUUUGAUCCUGGCUCAGGAUGAACGCUGGCGGCGUGCUUAACACAUGCAAGUCGAACGAUCCUUCGGGAUAGUGGCGGACGGGUGAGUAACGCGUGGGAAUCUGCCCUUAGGAGGGGGAUAACGGCUGGAAACGGCCGCUAAUACCCCAUAUGCCGAGAGGUGAAACGAAUUUCGCCUGAGGAUGAGCCCGCGUCUGAUUAGCUAGUUGGUGGGGUAAAGGCCUACCAAGGCGACGAUCAGUAGCUGGUCUGAGAGGAUGAUCGGCCACACUGGGACUGAGACACGGCCCAGACUCCUACGGGAGGCAGCAGUGGGGAAUUUUCCGCAAUGGGCGAAAGCCUGACGGAGCAACGCCGCGUGAGGGAUGAAGGCCUCUGGGCUGUAAACCUCUUUUCUCAAGGAAGAAGAACUGACGGUACUUGAGGAAUAAGCCACGGCUAAUUCCGUGCCAGCAGCCGCGGUAAUACGGGAGUGGCAAGCGUUAUCCGGAAUUAUUGGGCGUAAAGCGUCCGCAGGCGGCCUUGUAAGUCUGUUGUUAAAGCGUGGAGCUCAACUCCAUUUAAGCAAUGGAAACUACAAGGCUGGAGUGUGGUAGGGGCAGAGGGAAUUCCCGGUGUAGCGGUGAAAUGCGUAGAUAUCGGGAAGAACACCAGUGGCGAAGGCGCUCUGCUGGGCCAUAACUGACGCUCAUGGACGAAAGCCAGGGGAGCGAAAGGGAUUAGAUACCCCUGUAGUCCUGGCCGUAAACGAUGAACACUAGGUGUCGGGGGAAUCGACCCCCUCGGUGUCGUAGCCAACGCGUUAAGUGUCCCGCCUGGGGAGUACGCACGCAAGUGUGAAACUCAAAGGAAUUGACGGGGGCCCGCACAAGCGGUGGAGUAUGUGGUUUAAUUCGAUGCAACGCGAAGAACCUUACCAGGGUUUGACAUCCUGCGAAUCCCUUGGAAACGAGGGAGUGCCUUCGGGAGCGCAGUGACAGGUGGUGCAUGGCUGUCGUCAGCUCGUGUCGUGAGAUGUUGGGUUAAGUCCCGCAACGAGCGCAACCCACGUCUUUAGUUGCCAGCAUUCAGUUGGGCACUCUAGAGAGACCGCCGGUGAUAAACCGGAGGAAGGUGUGGAUGACGUCAAGUCAUCAUGCCCCUUACAUCCUGGGCUACACACGUACUACAAUGCUACGGACAAAGGGCAGCAAGCUCGCGAGAGUUAGCAAAUCCCAUAAACCGUGGCUCAGUUCAGAUCGUAGGCUGCAACUCGCCUACGUGAAGGAGGAAUCGCUAGUAAUCGCAGGUCAGCAUACUGCGGUGAAUACGUUCCCGGGCCUUGUACACACCGCCCGUCACACCAUGGAAGUUGGCCAUGCCCGAAGUCGUUACUCCAACCCUUGUGGAGGAGGACGCCGAAGGUGGGGCUGAUGACUGGGGUGAAGUCGAAACAAGGUA
rnacentral:rRNA from 1 species